rnacentral:rRNA from 1 species
UACGUAGGUGGCAAGCGUUAUCCGGAUUUAUUGGGUGUAAAGGGCGUGUAGGCGGGAGCGCAAGUCAGAUGUGAAAACUCAGGGCUCGACCCUGAGCCUGCAUUUGAAACUGUGUUUCUUGAGUGCUGGAGAGGCAAUCGGAAUUCCGUGUGUAGCGGUGAAAUGCGUAGAUAUACGGAGGAACACCAGUGGCGAAGGCGGAUUGCUGGACAGUAACUGACGCUGAGGCGCGAAAGCGUGGGGAGCAAACAGG